AACGCAAGUUGCACUCCUUGGCAUACCGGGGAGUAUACCUUCUUGAGUAUCGGUUCUAUCUACACUCGACAGCGUGCUGUUGGAUAAUGAGUUUUCUCGACGCAAGUUGAGUGACUUUAAAUCGUAGAUGGUCUCAGUAAUUUGAGCUUUUUUCUCGUAAUAGCUUGAAACAAGACUAAACAUGGAUCAUGUCCAAUAUGUUUCUGGUCUUUUUAGUAGAGCGCUAGAGUGAAAAGUUUCAAUGGAUCACAAACCAAAGGCGAAUUCUUUGAAUAAUGAUCUCAAGUAAGGCAAGAGAACCCCCUGAACUUAA
rnacentral:misc_RNA from 1 species